rnacentral:rRNA from 1 species
UGAGGAAUAUUGGUCAAUGGACGCGAGUCUGAACCAGCCAAGUAGCGUGAAGGAUGACUGCCCUAUGGGUUGUAAACUUCUUUUAUAAAGGAAUAAAGUCGGGUAUGGAUACCCGUUUGCAUGUACUUUAUGAAUAAGGAUCGGCUAACUCCGUGCCAGCAGCCGCGGUAAUACGGAGGAUCCGAGCGUUAUCCGGAUUUAUUGGGUUUAAAGGGAGCGUAGAUGGAUGUUUAAGUCAGUUGUGAAAGUUUGCGGCUCAACCGUAAAAUUGCAGUUGAUACUGGAUAUCUUGAGUGCAGUUGAGGCAGGCGGAAUUCGUGGUGUAGCGGUGAAAUGCUUAGAUAUCACGAAGAACUCCGAUUGCGAAGGCAGCCUGCUAAGCUGCAACUGACGCUGAGGCUCGAAAGCAUGGGUAGCAAACAGGAUUAGAUACCCUGGUAGUCCACACGGUAAACGAUGAAUACUUGCUGUUUGCGAUAUACUGCAAGCGGCCAAGCGAAAGCGUUAAGUAUUCCACCUGGGGAGUACGCCGGCAACGGUGAAACUCAAAGGAAUUGACGGGGGCCCGCACAAGCGGAGGAACAUGUGGUUUAAUUCGAUGAUACGCGAGGAACCUUACCCGGGCUUAAAUUGCAGAUGAAUUACGGUGAAAGCCGUAAGCCGCAAGGCAUCUGUGAAGGUGCUGCAUGGUUGUCGUCAGCUCGUGCCGUGAGGUGUCGGCUUAAGUGCCAUAACGAGCGCAACCCUUGUUGUCAGUUACUAACAGGUUUUGCUGAGGACUCUGACAAGACUGCCAUCGUAAGAUGUGAGGAAGGUGGGGAUGACGUCAAAUCAGCACGGCCCUUACGUCCGGGGCUACACACGUGUUACAAUGGGGGGUACAGAGGGCCGCUACCACGCGAGUGGAUGCCAAUCCCCAAAACCUCUCUCAGUUCGGACUGGAGUCUGCAACCCGACUCCACGAAGCUGGAUUCGCUAGUAAUCGCGCAUCAGCCACGGCGCGGUGAAUACGUUCCC